rnacentral:lncRNA from 10 species
GUAGGACAACAAUGCGCAGCUGAAUUGGGAUGAGGGGCCAGGACAAAGCAGAAAUCUGCUGCAGAGAGCAGGAAAGAUAUUCUGUAGCAGGAUCUGGGCAAGCGGCACUCAUCCAUAUCCUUUGCAUUGCAAAGAGAGGAGCUACCUCCUUCCUUUUUAUUUUCCAGUUUAUUGGUGGCUCCUAGAACCUCUGAGAACUAACUGAUUUUGACCUCUUAACAGUUGCCUUUCAACUACCAUUCAUUUACUGCAAGCCUACUGUGUAACAGGCCCUUGCUAACCACUUCAGAUAUAUUGUCUCUUGUCCAGCUUCAAGUGACUCUCUUAGGGAGGGAUUAGCCUCACCUCACUAGUAUGGAAAUGGAGACUUGGAGUAAUCAAGUGACUUGCUCUGAAUUACACAGCUGGGAAGUGGUGAAGCUGGAAUUCAACUCAAGUUAUGUCUAGAUCUAAAACUCAUGCUCUUUUCUAUGCUCAAAGCUGCAUAUCAAAACUGAACUUUAGCAUGGAGUCUAUGAUGACUGGCUCAUGUCUCUCCACCCAGCACCUAGCCCAAGGCCAAGCACAGAGAAGGCUCACAGUGGACACUUUUGGAAUGAGUAGAUUUUUUAUGGAAUGGUCGAGCACACUGAACUACCUGGAGUAAAGGGGCAUCAUGUCUGAAACUGAUGCUUAAGUGGCUCAGAAAAAAAAUUCUGGGAGCUAGAGGGAGAGAGAGACAGAGGAGUGUGGUAAAAAGUUAACAUUUUGGGGAUCUGCGUAAAGGUAUAUGAGGAUUCUUUGUACAGAUUUUGCAAUUUUUCUCCAAAUGUGAAAUUAUGUCAAAAUAUAAAAUUAAAAGACAAAAUUAAAAGAAUGAAUGAGAGUUUGCUAGGUAGAGAAGCAGGGGGAUCUUCUGGCAAAGGAACAGGAUAAGCAAAAGCAUCACAAGUGUGCGAGUCUUCUGUGUUGACAAACAAGCCCUGACUCUGAAUAUCCAGGACUAGCAUGGUGUGGGGAGACGGGGAUUAGACGUAUGAUGAGCAGCAUAACCCACAAAUGGACACAUUUCCCUGCUACCUAAGAUUGGAAGUAAAGACUUUAGGCCUACAUUAUACCCAGCCUCAAGAGUUGCAAGACAUAACAUGAGUUCUCAUGGCGGCUCAGUCUUUGCAUUGGCAGUGUCUCUUCAUCCAGUGACUGUGUGGAACAAUGGAAGCCCUAGAAUCAUGGCUGAAAGGGACAUCUAGUCCAACUCUCUCAUUUUGCAGAAGGGACAACUAAGAUGCAAAAUGAAGAGAUUUGCAAGGCCCCAGCAAAGGUUAGUGUUAAAACUGGCCUGCAGGCCGGGUGUGGUGGCUCACACCUAUAAUCCCAGCACUUUGGGAGGCCUAGGAGGGUGGAUCACCUGAGAUCAGGAGUUUGAGACCAGCCUGCCCAACAAGGUGAAACCCUGUCUCUACUAAAAACACAAAAAUUAGCCAGGUGUGGUGGCACACGCCUGUAAUCCCAGCUACUGGGGAGGCUAAGGCAGGAGAAUCGCUUGAACCCAGGAGGUGGAGGUUGCAGUGAGCCGAGAUUGUGCCACUGCACUCCAGCCUGGGCAACAAGAUCGAAACUCCGUCUCAAAAGAAAAAACUGGCCUACAUUUCACAAUCCAUCACUCUUUCUAUUUGCACCAACGUCUAAAUGAUAAGGGAGAAGAAAUAGAAGGCUAGCAAGGGAAGUGACUGAAUGUUAAAGUUUGGAUGUUUUUUAUUUGCACAAACUUAGUGUCUGUACAAUUUUAAAAGUAAACAAUAUAGAUACCAAUGUUAUUGUAGAAACUGUUGUCACUUAAGCCAAUAGCUUCCAACUGGUAAGUGAUAUUCAAUUCAGGCUCCUAGGUCUGAAGCAGCAAUCAAGGUGAUUCUCAGGAAUUCUCAAUGACAUUGGUACCCAUCUGGAUUUGUUGAAAAGUUUAACAUCCUUUUGUAUUAUUCAUGAUUUUGCAGUUCUUCAAAUUGCAAAGUGAUGGAGAGAGCACACAAUUUUCAACCAGCCUAUGAAAUCGUUCUUGAAAAUGUGGAAAUUCAUAGAGAUGGCUUUUAAUUUUUCUUGGAGACCGCCUUUCCUUAUGAAAUAAUGAAAUUUAAAAAUAUAUAUU